rnacentral:rRNA from 1 species
UACAGAGGGUGCGAGCGUUGUUCGGAAUUACUGGGCGUAAAGCGCGCGCAGGCGGCCUUUAAGUCUGGCGGUGAAAUGCCGGGGCUCAACCCCGAGCGUGCCGCGGAUACUGGGAGGCUGGAGACGAGUAGAGGCAAGCGGAAUUCCGGGUGUAGCGGUGGAAUGCGUAGAGAUCCGGAAGAACACCGGAGGCGAAGGCGGCUUGCUAGGCU